UCUGUACUUUGUUAAAGCAUGGAAGUGAGGCCGCUGGCUGGCUGAUGAACUCACAAGUGUAGGUAGUGUGCUACAUGAGGGCGAGUCUUUCGCUAACACUGGUUUCUGGCCCAGUGAGUGGAGUUUGAUAGUAAUUCUUGCUACAAGU
ensembl:snoRNA SNORA62 Small nucleolar RNA SNORA62/SNORA6 family